UGAGGAAUAUUGGACAAUGGAUGGAAAUCUGAUCCAGCCAUGCCGCGUGCAGGAAGACGGCCCUAUGGGUUGUAAACUGCUUUUGUAUGGGAGCAAUAAGGACUACGUGUAGUUUGAUGAGAGUACCAUACGAAUAAGCAUCGGCUAACUCCGUGCCAGCAGCCGCGGUAAUACGGAGGAUCCGAGCGUUAUCCGGAUUUAUUGGGUUUAAAGGGUGCGUAGGCGGAAAGAUAAGUCAGCCUGUGAAAGUUUGCGGCUCAACCGUAAAAUUGCAGUUGAUACUGUUUUUCUUGAGUGUACAUAAGGUAGGCGGAAUUCGUGGUGUAGCGGUGAAAUGCUUAGAUAUCACGAAGAACUCCGAUUGCGAAGGCAGCUUACCGGGGUACAACUGACGCUGAUGCACGAAAGUGUGGGUAUCAAACA
rnacentral:rRNA from 1 species